GACGAACGCUGGCGGCGUGCCUAAUACAUGCAAGUAGAACGCUGAAGAGAGGAGCUUGCUCUUCUUGGAUGAGUUGCGAACGGGUGAGUAACGCGUAGGUAACCUGCCUUGUAGCGGGGGAUAACUAUUGGAAACGAUAGCUAAUACCGCAUAACAAUGGAUGACACAUGUCAUUUAUUUGAAAGGGGCAAUUGCUCCACUACAAGAUGGACCUGCGUUGUAUUAGCUAGUAGGUGAGGUAAUGGCUCACCUAGGCGACGAUACAUAGCCGACCUGAGAGGGUGAUCGGCCACACUGGGACUGAGACACGGCCCAGACUCCUACGGGAGGCAGCAGUAGGGAAUCUUCGGCAAUGGGGGCAACCCUGACCGAGCAACGCCGCGUGAGUGAAGAAGGGUUUCGGAUCGUAAAGUUCUGUUGUAAGUCAAGAACGGGUGUGAGAGUGGAAAGUUCACACUGUGACGGUAGCUUACCAGAAGGGGACGGCUAACUACGUG
rnacentral:rRNA from 1 species